AUUUGCCUCCUCUGCCCCUCUCUUUCAGACUCCACUAUCUUUCCUUCUCUCACUCUCUCUCACACUAUGUCUCUAAUCCAUUCAGCCGCUGGAUCACCACGAUCUGUACGAUUCUUGAUGCUCCUUCUCCCUCACGCGAUUUUUGCUGCUCAGUCUCCCCCUUCUCCCUCAUGCAAGUCUUCCUGCUCCUUCUCCUUCACGGCAUUUCUCCUGCUGGAAGCAAAAACCCAGGCAAGAGCACUCUAACCUCGUUUGUCUAUGUGAGGUAUUUUUUUAAUUUAAGAUUGCAAUUUAAUAUCAGAUAAUCACUGAUUCGAAAGCUCGCUUGUAAUGACGCUAUCGAAAUCGGACCUCCCAGCGAUAUACUCGUUCUUGACCGAUUCAUUGAGUGGCGACGAAAUCGUCCGCAAGCCAGCAGAGGAGGCUCUCUCUCAGUGCGAGGCUAGGCCCAGCUUUUGCUCUUGUCUCAUGUGUGGUAUUGCUGCCAACGGUCAAAAACCAAAAACCCUAACUCGGUGUUGGUGAUUGCGUUUUGAGCCACGAACGAGGGGAGGUACUAUACAGUGGAUUGCGGAAACCCUAUUAUUUGGGGGAACCGAAGCUUUUCGAAUUGAAGUUUUACGCAAUCCAUAAAGCUUGAUUAACAGAUCUGUAGAAGGAAGCUGGUUUGGGGCUUGGGGACUGGAAAAAAUGCUGUGGGAUUUAAUCAUCUUUAAGAAAAUACGCUCUGUACUUGGAGGAGAUAUUAGAUUUAUGCUCUGUGGUGGAGCUCCUUUAUCUGCGGAUUCUCAACGCUUCAUCAAUAUCUGCAUGGGGGCUCCUAUUGGCCAAGGAUAUGGCUUGAUAGAAACUUUUGUUGGAGCUGCUUUUUCUGAGGCAGAUGACACAGUAGUGGGCCGUGUAGGGCCACCCCUUCCUUGUUGCUACAUUAAGGCAGUGGCUGCAUAACCAUGUCAUUAUCAGACAAAGAAUCUUCGACAGUACAUAGCAGAGAUUUCUUCAUCAAAAUGACUGGUUUAUGGUUUUCGGUUUUCAUUUCUUGUUGUUCCUCUAGUGUCUUUACUCGUUCUUUCAGAUGUUUUACAUAAUUGAUGGCAUCUCCCAGAACAGAAGUCCUGUCCAUCUGUUAAGAGUUUACCAUCAUUUACAAAUUUGAGAAAUAUUAAUGGCUUUACAUAUAUACAAUGUAGUAUUGAGAUCCCAUAAAAAGAAACUUAUAGGAUUAUAUAGUCAUAUAUAGUCAAUUAUUUUUUGAAAGGUCAAGUUUCUGCAGCCUUUGGCAGUCAACAAUAUUUGGAGUUAUGCUUCCAUUAAAAUUGUUUUCUGAUAAAUUAAGCACUGAGAGUUGUGUGAGGUUUCAUAAGGAUGAGGGGAUUUCUCCUGAUAAUGCAUUCCCAUUCAACAGUAGCAUUUGCAAGAGCCUUAGCUUCCCCAAAGAAGUCGGAAUGACACCUUCGAGAAGAUUAUUUUCCAUGGUUAAAGAUUAAUUUCACUUGAAGAUGGAGCUGCAAAAUCUAAAACAGAGGAAAGCCAGUCACAAACAGUUCCUCACGAUGCCGAGGCUAUUCCAGUUGCUAAGCCAGUGAGCAUCAGUGCAACUAUUUCCACUGUCUUGGCAAGUGCUGGGAAUACUUUGGAGGGGUCUGUGGCAGAACUUGUGUUGAGUCCUCUUCGACUUGCAUUUGAGACAAAGAACUUGAAAAUCUUAGAAUCUGCUUUGGAUUGUCUUCAUGUAUGUAUUUGUCAUGUUUUUUAUUUUCAUGCUCUGAAUUUUAUAGGUUAGCAUUGUGUUUAAAAUUUUCCAUUUGGCUCUUGAUAUCAGUUCUCCUGUGCGAAAGAUUGAGGAGAUUGAUAGAUGGGAAGUGAAUUGAUAAUUCAUUUGAACAAAAAGAACACUUAAUCUUACUUUACUGUGUGCCCGUGCAGCUGGCCUGGUGGUUAUUUCUUACCUCUAAAUCAGACCCGACCUUCCUGUUUUACACUUCUACAACAGAUUGCUUUGUGGACACACUCUUUAGCUCUUUUGCUAGUAUUUAACGUCUAUCUUUUUUCUUU